CCUACGGGGCGCAGCAGUGAGGAAUAUUGGUCAAUGGCCGCAGGGCGGAACCAGCCAAGUCGCGUGAGGGAUGACGGUCCUAUGGAUUGUAAACCUCUUUUGUCAGGGAGCAAAGGGCGCCACGUGUGGCGUUUUGCGAGUACCUGAAGAAAAAGCAUCGGCUAACUCCGUGCCAGCAGCCGCGGUAAUACGGAGGAUGCGAGCGUUAUCCGGAUUUAUUGGGUUGACAGGGUGCGCAGGCGGAAUGUCAAGUCAGCGGUAAAAUUUCGGGGCUCAACCCCGUCGUGCCGUUGAAACUGGCGGUCUUGAGUGAGCGAGAAGUAUGCGGAAUGCGUGGUGUAGCGGUGAAAUGCAUAGAUAUCACGCAGAACUCCGAUUGCGAAGGCAGCAUACCGGCGCUCAACUGACGCUCAUGCACGAAAGCGUGGGUAUCGAACAGGAUUAGAUACCCCAGUAGUC
rnacentral:rRNA from 1 species